CAUCUUCCUCCCAGAGGCCCCCCACCCUCCCACAGACCUGGUGAUGGGUUACAUACCCUUCCCCUCAGGACAGCCCCACUCCAUUUCCCAACAGCAUCUUCAGGCAACAAGAGAGUAAAUUAUUUGCUAACAAUGCCACAGAGCAGGAGUCCUGACUAGGAUAUCCUCUGCACCCCAGGGAGUGGCCACACCCUCAGUCCUGCCAAGAGGAGGCUACUACUGUCCCUGCCUCCGAUCCUCAUACUUACCACCUGGCUGAGCAAAUCCUAGAACUCCACCUGGAGCAGGUCCUGAUCCUCGGGAGACCCAAAGAGCCCCUGUAGCCAAGUGGAGAGCUGCAAGGAGACCAAUGGGUGUGACCUGCUAGAGAGACAUCUGCCUUGCAGCUGAAUCACAGGCCUUUCAUUCCGCUUUCCUGUUGGCUCAGAUAAGAUGGGACCAGAAAAUGACUAAAAGUUAAGUUUCUGUUUG